rnacentral:lncRNA from 1 species
AUUUUACUAAUACUUUUUUCCAAGAUACUUUUUCUAUUUUUUUUUUUUCUUCAGGUUUUGAAACAACCUCAACCUGUCUAUCCUGGAGCUUUCUUUAUUUGAUACACUAUCCAGAAAUUCAAGCCAGAAUUAAAGAGGAAAUUGGUAACAUGCUUUUGAAUUAAAAAAAAAAAACUCUAUUAUGAGUAUAUUCUCAUUUUUAAAUUAAAUUUUUUAAAAAAUCUUUUUUUUUCCAUAUAGAAACUAAUUGGAAUGACAUCACCCAGAUCUGAAGACAGUACUACAGCAGACACUACUCUGAAUGCCUCUUUUAUUCCCAGGAGCUGCUUGGAAGAGAUACUCAAAAUGAAAAACAUCUCGUCAUGA